rnacentral:sRNA from 1 species
AUGCAGCUUUUACGCGACUGCCGCCUGCAUGGUUGCCAGUCACAUCCUGAGCUGCAAGAUUU